rnacentral:rRNA from 1 species
AGGGUUUGAUUCUGGCUCAGGAUGAACGCUAGCUACAGGCUUAACACAUGCAAGUCGUGGGGCAGCAUGGGAGAUGCUUGCAUUUCCCGAUGGCGACCGGCGCACGGGUGAGUAACGCGUAUCCAACCUGCCCUUCACUCCGGCACAGCCCGUCGAAAGACGGAUUAAUGCGGGAUGCAGUCAGAAAGAUGCAUAUUAAUUUGACGAAAGGCCUUCGGGUCGGUGAGGGAUGGGGAUGCGUCCGAUUAGCUUGACGGCGGGGUAACGGCCCACCGUGGCAACGAUCGGUAGGGGUUCUGAGAGGAAGGUCCCCCACAUUGGAACUGAGACACGGUCCAA